rnacentral:lncRNA from 1 species
GCUGGCAGGCCUUGGCUAGCUGCGGAUGUCUCCCCAUUGUCUCCGAAGCAUAGUGACUCACAGGUGUCUCUACAGCCUUGGUUCCCGAUGGCUCACGCCUUCUCUUAAGCAUCAAGGCCCAGCAACCUCCCUUGAAGUCUCUAUCGGCUAUAGUGCCCGUGGGACUCUUGGAAGCGGUACAGGUCACUCCCAGCGCCCUAUUUCUAGUGACGUUCCCGUUCUCUCGUCAAGAUGAGACGACCAAGAAGAGAAAGGCCCAGGCUGUGUCUGAAGAGGAAGAAGAGGAGGAGGGAGAGUCCAGCUCCCCAAAGAAAAAGAUCAAAUUGAAGAAGCAGAGAGAUGCAAUCCUCGUUGCUGAAGGCAGCGCUGCCCAGGAUGAAUGUG